ACUUCACCACCACCAAAAACAACACCACAAACACCGCCAACACCACCACCACCACAAACACCGAGAGCAACACCUCAAGUUCAACCACCAACACCAACACCAACACCUCAAGUUCAACCACCAACACCAACACCUCAAGUUCAACCACCAACACCAACACCUCAAGUUCAACCUCGAACACCAACACCAGCACCACCCCCACCCCCACCCCCACCUCCAAGAGGGUGGUUCAAUUUCAAUUUCGGUGGAUGGUUCAAUUUCAAUGUCGC
rnacentral:lncRNA from 1 species